UGGGGAAUAUUGGACAAUGGGCGAAAGCCUGAUCCAGCCAUGCCGCGUGUGUGAAGAAGGUCUUCGGAUUGUAAAGCACUUUAAGUUGGGAGGAAGGGCAGUAAGCGAAUACCUUGCUGUUUUGACGUUACCGACAGAAUAAGCACCGGCUAACUCUGUGCCAGCAGCCGCGGUAAUACAGAGGGUGCAAGCGUUAAUCGGAAUUACUGGGCGUAAAGCGCGCGUAGGUGGUUCGUUAAGUUGGAUGUGAAAGCCCCGGGCUCAACCUGGGAACUGCAUCGAGAAAUGGCGAGCGAGAGGAGGGCAGAGGGGGGUGGAAUUUCCUGUGUAGCGGUGAAAUGCGUAGAUAUAGGAAGGAACACCAGUGGCGAAGGCGGCCACCUGGGCUGAUACUGACGAUGAGGUGCGAAAGCGUGGGGGGCAAACAGG
rnacentral:rRNA from 1 species